UAGGGAAUAUUGCGCAAUGGGGGAAACCCUGACGCAGCAAUGCCGCGUGAGUGAGGAAGGCCUUCGGGUUGUAAAGCUCUGUCCUAAAGGAAAAACGGUUGAUCGGUUAAUACCCGGUCUUCUUGAUGGUACUUUAGAAGAAAGCACCGGCUAACUUCGUGCCAGCAGCCGCGGUAAUACGAAGGGUGCAAGAGUUGUUCGGAUUUAUUGGGCGUAAAGCGCGCGCAGGCGGAUAGUCAAGUCAGAUGUGAAAUCUCGGGGCCCAACCUCGAAACUGCGUCUGAAACUGGUUAUCUAGAAUUAUGUAGGGGGUAGGGGAAUUUCACGUGUAGGGGUAAAAUCCGUAGAGAUGUGAAGGAACACCUGAGGCGAAGGCGCCUACCUGGACAUAUAUUGACGCUGAGGCGCGAAAGCGUGGGGAGCAAACA
rnacentral:rRNA from 1 species